rnacentral:rRNA from 1 species
CCUACGGGUGGCUGCAGUCGAGAAUUAUUCACAAUGGGGGAAACCCUGAUGGUGCGACGCCGCGUGGGGGAAUGAAGGUCUUCGGAUUUUAAACCCCUGUCAUGUGGGAGCAAAUUAAAAAGAUAGUACCACAAGAGGAAGAGACGACUAACUCUGGGACAGCGGCCGCGGUAAUACAGAGGUCUCAAGCGUGUUUCGGAAUCACUGGGCGUAACGGGAGCGUUGGCGGUUUCGUAGGUCGUGUAUGAAUGGCGCGGGCUCAACCCGCGGACGGCAAAUGAUACUGGGAAACUAGAGUAAUAGAGGGGGAACCGGAAUUCUUGGUGAAGCAGUGGAAUGCGUAGAUA